GGAAGGGAUGUAUUUAUUAGAUAAAAAACCAAUGCCCUUCGGGGCUCCUUGGUGAAUCAUAAUAACUUAACGAAUCGCAUGGCCUUGCGCCGGCGAUGGUUCAUUCAAAUUUCUGCCCUAUCAACUUUCGAUGGUAGGAUAGUGGCCUACCAUGGUGGCAACGGGUAACGGGGAAUUAGGGUUCGAUUCCGGAGAGGGAGCCUGAGGAACGGCUACCACAUCCAAGGAAGGCAGCAGGCGCGCAAAUUACCCAAUCCCGACACGGGGAGGUAGUGACAAUAAAUACUGAUACGGGGCUCUUUUGGGUCUCGUAAUUGGAAUGAGUACAAUCUAAAUCCCUUAACGAGGAACAAUUGGAGGGCAAGUCUGGUGCCAGCAGCCGCGGUAAUUCCAGCUCCAAUAGCGUAUAUUAAAGUUGUUGCAGUUAAAAAGCUCGUAGUUGAACCUUGGGUCUGGCUGGCCGGUCCGCCUCACCGCGAGUACUGGUCCGGCUGGACCUUUCCUUCUGGGGAAUCUCAUGGCCUUCACUGGCUGUGGGGGGAACCAGGACUUUUAC
rnacentral:rRNA from 1 species